rfam:Muricauda lutaonensis strain CC-HSB-11, complete genome.
GGUCCUAUAGCUCAGCUGGUUAGAGCACUUGACUCAUAAUCAAGGGGUCCCUGGUUCGAGCCCAGGUGGGACCA